CAGUUCGGAUUGCAGUCUGCAACUCGACUGCAUGAAGCUGGAAUCGCUAGUAAUCGCGAAUCAGAAUGUCGCGGUGAAUACGUUCCCGGGUCUUGUACACACCGCCCGUCACACCAUGGGAGUUGGUAACGCCCGAAGUCAGUGACCCAACCGCAAGGAGGGAGCUGCCGAAGGCGGGACCGGUAACUGGGGUGAAGUCGUAACAAGGUAUC
rnacentral:rRNA from 1 species